rnacentral:rRNA from 1 species
AGGGGAAUAUUGCACAAUGGGCGGAAGCCUGAUGCAGCGACGCCGCGUGGGGGAUGAAGGCCUUCGGGUUGUAAACUCCUUUCGACAGGGACGAAGCUUUUGUGACGGUACCUGUAUAAGAAGCACCGGCUAACUACGUGCCAGCAGCCGCGGUAAUACGUAGGGUGCGAGCGUUGUCCGGAAUUACUGGGCGUAAAGAGCUCGUAGGUGGUUUGUCGCGUCGUCUGUGAAAUUCCGGGGCUUAACUCCGGGCGUGCAGGCGAUACGGGCUGACUUGAGUGCUGUAGGAGAGACUGGAAUUCCUGGUGUAGCGGUUAAAUGCGCAGAUAUCAGGAGGAACACCGAUGGCGAAGGCAGGUCUCUGGGCAGUAAAUGACGCUGAGGAGAGAAAGCAUGGGUAGCGAACAGG